rnacentral:rRNA from 1 species
GAUGAACGCUGGCGGCGUGCCUAAUACAUGCCAGUCGAGCGAACAGAUGAGGAGCUUGCUCCUCUGACGUUAGCGGCGGAUGGGUGAGUAACACGUGGAUAACCUACCUAUAAGACUGGGAUAACUUCGGGAAACCGGAGCUAAUACCGGAUAAUAUAUUGAACCGCAUGGUUCAAUAGUGAAAGACGGUUUUGCUGUCACUUAUAGAUGGAUCCGCGCCGCAUUAGCUAGUUGGUAAGGUAACGGCUUACCAAGGCAACGAUGCGUAGCCGACCUGAGAGGGUGAUCGGCCACACUGGAACUGAGACACGGUCCAGACUCCUACGGGAGGCAGCAGUAGGGAAUCUUCCGCAAUGGGCGAAAGCCUGACGGAGCAACGCCGCGUGAGUGAUGAAGGUCUUCGGAUCGUAAAACUCUGUUAUUAGGGAAGAACAAAUGUGUAAGUAACUAUGCACGUCUUGACGGUACCUAAUCAGAAAGCCACGGCUAACUACGUG